rnacentral:rRNA from 1 species
UACGGGGGGGGCAAGCGUUGUUCGGAAUUACUGGGCGUAAAGGGCUCGUAGGCGGCCAACUAAGUCAGACGUGAAAUCCCUCGGCUUAACCGGGGAACUGCAUCUGAUACUGGAUGGCUUGAGUUCGGGAGAGGGAUGCGGAAUUCCCGGUGUAGCGGUGAAAUGCGUAGAUAUCUGGAGGAACACCGGUGGCGAAGGCGGCAUCCUGGACCAACACUGACACUGAGGAGCGAAAGCCAGGGGAGCAAACGGG